GGCUAUCAAAUAAUUUUAAACUGUCAACCAACCCAGCAGAUUUUGCCUAGGGUGAAUGCUGUUUGUGUGUCUUAUUGAAGUCAAUGUGUUUGACCUUUAAAAUUUCUAACAGGUCUUAUUUUUGCAGUUCCUGACCACCACGGCUUUAAGACUGUCCUUCAGCUGGGAGGGAGAUCCGUUGCUUUAAGACUAGCCUGGGAGCUGGGACGCCCCUCUGGCAAUCUGUCAGUGCCUGAACCAGCUGCAUCCUUUCUGGGGCAUUUUCUCACCAGACUGACAGUCCUUACGACAAGUAUGCAGUUAAGCUGCUAAGGUAAGUCUGACGAUAUUGGAACUCUUUGCCCCGGACCCACAGCUGGCCAUUCCUUCCGCUUUG
rnacentral:lncRNA from 1 species